AGAGUUUGAUCCUGGCUCAGGAUGAACGCUAGCGACAGGCCUAACACAUGCAAGUCGAGGGGCAGCGGGGCGUGGCAACACGCCGCCGACGACCGGCGCACGGGUGAGUAACACGUAUGCAACCUGCCCCCAACAGGGGUAUAACCCGGGGAAACCCGGACUAAUACCGCGUAGUCCGAAUGAGGGCAUCCUUUUUCGGGGAAAGCUUUUUGCGGUUGGGGAUGGGCAUGCGGCGCAUUAGCUAGUUGGCGGGGUGACGGCCCACCAAGGCGACGAUGCGUAGGGGUUCUGAGAGGAAGGUCCCCCACACUGGUACUGAGACACGGACCAGACUCCUACGGGAGGCAGCAGUGAGGAAUAUUGGUCAAUGGGCGGGAGCCUGAACCAGCCAAGUCGCGUGAAGGAAGACGGCCCUACGGGUUGUAAACUUCUUUAGCCGGGGAGCAACGGCGCGGACGCGUCCGCGUGUGAGCGUACCCGGAGAAUAAGCAUCGGCUAACUCCGUGCCAGCAGCCGCGGUAAUACGGAGGAUGCGAGCGUUAUCCGGAUUUAUUGGGUUUAAAGGGUGCGCAGGCUGCCUGUCAAGUCAGCGGUAAAAUUGCGGGGCUCAACCCCGUACCGCCGUUGAGACUGACGGGCUGGAGUGCGGUUGAGGUAUGCGGAAUGCGUCAUGUAGCGGUGAAAUGCAUAGAUAUGACACAGAACACCGUUCGCGAAGGCGGCUUGCGAGCAUGGUACUGACGCUGAGGCACGAAGGCGUGGGGAUCGAACAGGAUUAGAUACCCUGGUAGUCCACGCAGUAAACGAUGAUGACUUGAUGUCGGCGGCAUACUGUCGGUGUCAAAGCGAAAGCGAUAAGUCAUCCACCUGGGGAGUACGAUCGCAAGGUUGAAACUCAAAGGAAUUGACGGGGGCCCGCACAAGCGGAGGAGCAUGUGGUUUAAUUCGAUGAUACGCGAGGAACCUUACCUAGACUUGAACGCACGGGCGAUGCGGGAGAGAUUCCGCAGCCCCUCGGGGGUCCGUGCGAGGUGCUGCAUGGUUGUCGUCAGCUCGUGCCGUGAGGUGUCAGGUUAAGUCCUAUAACGAGCGCAACCCCUGCCGACAGUUGCCAGCGUGCAAGACGGGGACUCUGUCGGGACUGCCGGCGCAAGCCGCGAGGAAGGUGGGGAUGACGUCAAAUCAGCACGGCCCUUACGUCUAGGGCGACACACGUGCUACAAUGGCCGGUACAGAGGGCAGCCACCCCGCGAGGGGGAGCGAAUCUCGAAAGCCGGUCUCAGUUCGGAUCGGAGUCUGCAACCCGACUCCGUGAAGUUGGAUUCGCUAGUAAUCGCGCAUCAGCCAUGGCGCGGUGAAUACGUUCCCGGGCCUUGCACUCACCGCCCGUCAAG
rnacentral:rRNA from 1 species